CAUAGUAUCAUAGUGGUGUUUAUUACAAAGCAACAUGCAAAACAUACAUGAUAACCCAGGGCCUGGGGUUGGCACUUGGGCAGGCUCAGGAAUUGGGUAAGCAUCCAAGCUAAGGGUGGGAUGGAAGGAGAGUCUCAGGAAGGACUUUUGCACAUAAAAUUUUAUACUAAAUAUCAGCAGUUUUGACAUAUUUUGAUCCUACCUUUGAUUCAUGAAAAUCUCAAAACUCUCUUAUCUGCAGUUCUUACUUUGUGUCAUGUGGCAUGGGCUGAGGAACAGCAGGUGCUCAGUAAUGCUUGUGGAUGAACAAAGGCAGGAAUGCAGACAUACACAGUGAAGACAGAGACCCCACAGCCUCCCACCCCACCCCCCAUCUCCUUUUCAGACUGUUCAGCUGGAAUGUUUGUAGAUUUGAGAAAAUCAAUGCAGCCAAGGCUCUUCCUGGAGGCGUGACCUUCAAAGAACAAAGAAACCACUCGCUUUUGGAUGGGUUGUGGAGCUUGUCCUGGGAAAGUGUGGCUGGGAGGCCUUGGGUGAGUUUCUACGGCCUGAGCAGACCAUGGUCUGGGCAGAAGCCUGCUCCAGAGGAAGGAGAAACAGGGCCUCAGGGGCCAGGAUGCAGGCCAGAAGAGGCGAGAGGGUCCUCCAUGACAGUGUCCAGGAGGCUUGGCCCUUAAGGGAGCUAAUGGUGGUACACGAGUUUUGAUACCUUAAGCAGCUGAGAGUGGGCCAGAGGGGCUGGCCACCCCCUCUGCCUGCUGGGGAGAGCUUUCCUGCUCCCUGGGUCAGAACCAGUGCUGGGACCAGUCCUGGCCACUGUCACCAGCUUCCUGCCCAGCAAAGGUUGGGUUGAAGCCAGGGUCUCAGGCACCAGUGGUCAGAGCUGGAGGCCUGUGUGGUUCAGGGCACAGGACUGUCCUGGCCCCACUGUCUGUCUUCCACCCAUGUGUAUAUACCAGAUUCAUGUGGCCAGCCCCCACAAUCCAGGCCGCUUGCAUCACUGUGUACAACUUUGGACAAGUCCUGAACCUCUGAAAGUUCCUCACACAGGGAAUAUGUAGGUCCACCCUGCCUACUAGGUGGAUAGGUUUUGCCUAAGGUCAUGUGGCUAGGAAGUAAGUCAGGAUUUGAACCUGGUAUAAGACACAAAGGGACCUGGCCAUCCCCUCCUGAGAGGUAGAGGCCAGCAGAAGGAACCAUAUGGCUUUUCAAGAGCAGGGCCCUCCCUGGGUCACGCAGAGGGAGCACGGGGCCUGGGCACAUCUGGGGUCCCUGGACUUUUAGUAAGCCUUCUUUACCCAGUUUUGGGGUUCUCUGCAGUGCACACAGCUUCUCCUUUUAACUUUCUACCCUCACCCCACCCACCCAGGGCUUGGUCCUUCUGCUGGCUACCCUCCACUGGCUCUCGGAUGCCCAGACCCGGGAACCGUUUCUCCAUCUCUCCAGCCCUGCCCUUGCUUUUGAGAAAUGGGAAGAGGGCUGGGGAUGUAGCUCAGUAGUCAAGUACUUGACUAGCAUGGGCAAGGCCCUAGGUUCCAUCCCCAAUGAGAGACUGGGUGGAGGGAUUAGAAAGAGACUGAGUUGCAGUUGGGCCUGAUGGUCACAGAGGAAAGCAGUAUGGAGGCACUGAGGUAGAAGGCAGAGGGGUCUCUGUGGGACAGGGUGGGCAGUGGUAAAGCAAGACCAGGCCAGCCUCUGGGGAGGGCAGGGCUAGCUGGGUUGGCCACUGCUCCAGGGAGGGUAUAAGCAAGUUUUCUUGUACCAUUACCAGUCCCAGCCCUCUGACCUUCCCUGCCUCACUUGUCCCUCACGGCCCAACUCCCUCAAGUGCUGUGAUAAAGCCCCAAGGUCAAUGGCAGGCAGGUCCACUCUCAAGGGCCCCGUGUGUCCUGCAGUUGGUAUUGCCAGCACUUUCAGUUUCCCCACUGGGGCCUCACCAAUAACGCCAUAUGAUCUCACAACAGCCAAGCAAGACAAGGGUUAACCUAUUUUUUUCCAAACAGAUGAGCCAGCUGAGUCCCAAGGAGGUUAAGCAAAUUGUCAAGGCCACACAGCCAGAGCGUCCAAAACUUUAGGUGCAAAUCCACCCUUGAGUCCCAGAUCCCAGCCUGCCUCUGUGUCCCAUCAUUCCCCUGUGGAAGCACAAACAGAACAAGCAAAGCUUUGGUCUGUGACAGUCAAUGUCUUUACUUCUAAAGCAUACAUUGGACUCACUAUAUAUUAACAUCAAAAGUGGCUACCUAGAAUGGAGUCAUUCUUUUUAAAAAUUCAAAUUCUCACAUUUAUAUAUAAGAUCCAAAAUGACAUGAAAUUAAACUACAAUGUUAUGAAUAGUAUAACAAUCUGCUUUUAGAAAGCAAAAUGAAAGGAAAAAUUUAGCAGUUGGGACUGUCGGGGGCUGGAUUCCAGUCUUGAGGCAUUAUGACCAAGCACCAGCACAAGGGGAAAGGCCCACCCCUCUCUGCAGCACAGAAGGGAACCCCGUCAAAUAGACACGGUGGACGUGGCUGUGCAGAUUCCGAAAGGUCAGAGGUGAGGCUGUGUCUUCCUGCCCCUCCAGCCCUUGGCAUGUGUACCGAUCAGUCUUCUUUAAGACCAGGAACAGGUGGAGCUGGGCUCAAAAUGGUAAUUUUUACAAUAAAGGGUGGCCCUAGCCACCAGCGAUCUUGGUUGAUUCUACCCACCUGACGGGCACACUGCCUACUGGAUCCCUUAACCUACUUGUUCCUCCUCUUCCCCAUGCCCUGGACACCAUCUGCCUCAAGAGACCUAGCGGGCUCUAGGAAGCCCCAAAGGAGAACUCUGGGCUUGGAAGUAGCUGGAUGUUGUCCAGAGCAUAAGAUCCCUAGGGUCUGGGCCAGCAGCCAGACUGAUGGGAGGGGUGGUAUUCCCACGGACUGGAUCGGCACUGUGGGGUCAGAGGCCAUUUACCACCUUGGCACCUGGGCCUGGUCUGGGACUUGAGGCAGGACUGGUGCUAGCUGACUGGGACCACACCCCUGAGCCCCAGACACUUUGGUUCACACAAUUUGUGGGGAGGACACUUGUGCAUCUGCUGGGGACAUCAUGGGCUUGGCCUACUUCCUCUGAACCCUGGAGGUCUCUCUGUUCCCUCCUUUCACAUCUGCAGCCCCCUACCAGAACUCAGAGCCACACUGCAAAGUGUGCUUCCAAAGCUAUGGAAUAAACCCUCAGCACAAAUAGGCUGCUCAUCCUCCUUCCCCCUGGAUACCACUGUCCCUGCUCGAAGGUAUCAUAGGAAUGUCUCUGCUUCCCAGCUCCUGGCUAGGUUCACUGGUCUCCAGGCAGACCCUUCCCAGACUCCUGUCUUGAACAUCUUGACUGUCAGAAACCUGGGGGGACACAUCACCUUUGGCUGGAGCAGAGGCUGUGGCUCCCCAUCUGCCCUCCUCAUCCCCAGGAUUACAUCACAAAACUGGCCUUCCUCCUUAAACACCAACUUGACAGGGAUGCCCUACCAUAACCAGCCCCCACCCCCCAUCUGAUUUCUAACUAGGCUGGAAGAUUUGAGAAGGUUGGAGCCAUUUGACUGCCAGUGGGAUUCCAGUCCCCAGACAUGAGGGAGGCUGACAGCUCUCUGGAAGGAUUCCUGUGGUGGGAAAAGUUUAAGGAACCAGUAUCUGGCUCUCCCCACUGACAGGCUGGUGCCAGGAGUGCUUGGCACUGCACACCUUCAACCUGCCCAGUACCCUUUUGUCCUCACGCUCAGGGACUCAGAACACUGAGCUGGGUGGGGGCCUUGGUAUGAUGCAGCUGUAAGGAAGCCAUAAGGAGGUGAGGUUGGACUGGGCCCAGUGGGCCACAGGUGUCAGGGCAAGCAGGCAGCCACCUGGUAGGCACCCUCAGCAGCUGCAGCUGCAGCACUGUGUUGGGCACUGUGCUCCUGCAGCAAGGCCACAUCCAGGAAACGCUCACCACACCACACACACUUGAACUGCUGCUCGCGGGCGUGCACACCCUGGUGCUUGUUGAGAUGCUCACGCUGCUUGAAGGCUUUGUCACAGUUGGGGCACUUGUAGGGCUUCUCGCCAGUGUGUACCCGACGGUGGCGCUGCAGGUCUGAAGCAUACUUGAAGCGCUUCUCACAGUCUGGGCACUUAAGGGGCUUCUCACGUGCAGGGUCGCAGCGGUGCUGCACAAACUCUGAGGAGGAAAAGAAGCGGCGAUCACACAGCGUGCAACGCAGGGGCUUCUCGGCUGCUGAGCAGUGCACCAACUGGUGCUUUUGCAGGGCUGAUGCCCGCUUGUAGGCCUUGUUGCAUACAGGGCAUUUGAAGGGCCGCUCAGUGGAGCCCGGCAAGCACUUGUGCCGCAGCAGCUCAGCCGACUGGUCAAAGCCCUUCUGGCACACGGGGCACUUGAAGAGAGUCUCAAGGGUAUGCACAUGUUGGUGGUACAGAAGGUGGCUAGGCUGACCAAAGCCCUUCUCGCACAGGCCACACUUAAAGGGCUCUUCAGUCUUGUGUGUGCGCCGAUGCCGCAUGAGCGCGUACUGCUGCUUGAAGCCCAUGGGGCACAGGUCGCACUUGAAGGGCCGCUCGGCACUGUGCGUUCGCUCAUGCUGCCGCAGGUCCGACGGCCGCUUGAAGGCCUUCUGGCACUCACCGCAGCGGAAGGGCCGCUCGCUACUCGGGGUGCACGGGUGCUGCAGCAGUUCUGAUGACUCUUUGAAGUGCAGCUCACACACGUUGCAGCGGAAGAGGUGGUGCUCGCCCGAGUGAGCGUACAUGUGGCGCACCAGGUGAGAGCGGUGCUUGAAGGUCUUCUCACACACGGCACACUUAUAGGGCCGCUCCGAGCUGUGCGUGCGCUUGUGGUGCACCAAGUGGGACGACUGGCUGAAGCUCUUGUCACACAGCGUGCACUUGUAGGGCUUCUCACCGGUGUGGAUCCGCUCAUGGCGAGAGAGCUCUGACAGGUGCUUGAAGGGCUUCUGGCAGAUGGGGCAGCUGUAGGGCUUUUCAGGCUGCUCUGUAGGGGCCACAGCAGGAGGUGGGGGUGCAGGGGGGAAGUGAAGGGCCCGUAGUGGUGGCUGGCUCAGUGGCCUCCGCUGGCUUGUAGGUCUUCUCACAGAUGGAGCACUUCACAAGGCCAGUAUGGGCACUGUGGUGCUGUGCCAGGGAAGUAAGCAGAGAGAAGCCCAUCUUGCAGACACCACAGACGAAAGGCUUCUGCUCAGCCUGCACACACUGGUGCUCCAGCAGGUCCGUGGCCUGGUGGAAGAUCUUGAGACACUGGGUGCACUGGAACGAGCGGUCAUGGCCUGCCAGGCACUGGUGCUCAUGUGGGCUGGACAGGUGUGCCAGGUCAUGACCACACACCCCGCACUUGGGGGCCUGCUCGCCAGCUGCCUGGAGGGGUGCAUGCUGUGGGGGCUGCAGGCCUGGGUCUGGCUGUAGGAGGAUGCCAUAGACAGCACAGCCUAGGGGGUUCUCAGCCGUUCCCGGGGGCAGCGUGUGCUCUGUGAGGGCAGGUGGUGGUUCUGCAUGGUGCUGAGGCUGCGGUGGCUGCGGCUGCUGCGGCUGUGUCUGUGGCGGCUGCUGCCAGGUUUCCGACAUGCUUGGGAAGAUGAAACAAGGCUUGGAGAGUAACGGCUUCAGUUUCCCGCUUAUAGUGACCCAACCCAGAGAGAGAAGCUGCCUGAUCUCAGGGAUGGACAAGGACCUCAGAUAAGGCACAGAAGAGGAUGGGUCAGACAGCCCCAGUCAUUAACCAAGCAGACAGACUACAAGGAUGUGUCUACAGGACAGGGGGCUCUUCAAGGCAGGGUCCCAACAAUGCCAGGGAGGCUCUGCCUUCCCAAAGAUCGGUUCUGUAGGGAAGAGAGAGAUUGUGAGCUGGAGUCAGGAACAAGCAGCCUUCCCUGGAUCCUCUCCCUGUGUUGGCUGUACCUGUCACACGGACACAGACCACAUCAAGGAAAGGAGAUGCGCAGAGCUGGGAGACCUGCUCCCCCACAUGCCACCGAAGUCUGCUGGAAGCUCAGCAUCUUAAGGCAAAGUAGACAGCAGCUGUCUCCACUCCUCCCUACCUCAGUUCUCUAUCCCUGGGCCAAGACAUCCACUGAGUCCCCUCUAGCUUCCAGCCAACUCUCCUCAGAAAAGUGUCUCACAGGUGAGUCUGGGGUGAUCUGUCCAUAAUGCCAAGGUCUCCCUGAGGUCUGCCAACCACCCUUCCACUUGUCACCUUGUGAACAAAUCCAGGACACCCACCACUGCUCAGAGGACCAGUCUGUUGAUCCAAAGAGCCCACACCUAGCCAUCUGAGAGCUCAAUCACAAAAGGCCUCUGGCAGUCAUAUUAGGACAACUCUGUGGAACCAAAGACCACAUCAAAAACCCUCUGCCAUGAGAAAAUCACCCACAGCCCCCUGCACUAUCUCCAGACCCUCCACUCUAGCCACAUGCCUUUUU
ensembl:lncRNA